rnacentral:rRNA from 1 species
UAAAUUGCCGUGGUAUUUUGACCAUGCUAAGGUAGCAUAAUCAUUUGGUUUUUAAUUGGGAUCUGGAAUGAAGGGUUGAACGAGAACUUUUCUUUAUUAGUUUAUUGGUAAAAUUUAACUUCUAGGUGAAGAGGCCUAGAUAUAAAAAAAGGACAAGAAGACCCUAUCGAGUUUUAUUUUUAAAUGAUUAAUAUAUGAUUAAGAAAAUUUGGUUGGGGCAACCUGAGAAUUAACUUCUCUUGUAUAGUGGGAUAAUUUUAUUGGUAAAGAAAUUUUUAUUAAAUGAGAAAGUUACCGUAGGGAUAACAGCAUAAUUUUUUUUUAGAGUUCUAAUCGAAAAAAAAGUUUGUGACCUCGAUGUUGGACUAAGAUAACCCUAAAGAGCAGAAAUUUUAAAAGGUUGGUCUGUUCGACCAUAAAAAUCUUAC